rfam:Puccinia triticina 1-1 BBBD Race 1 supercont2.13823, whole genome shotgun sequence.
CAAGCAAGCCAAGGACCAUAUGUUUUUUUGUGUUACACUUUCAGCAUCUAAGCUUAUUAUAUUCAACACAAGGAGAAAGUCCCCGGAAAAAAAAAUAUCUUCUGUCCAAUGAUUAAAGAUUAGGGCAGUGGGGUAUUUAGUAAAGCAACUUUGUUUGUUUGUUUUUUUUCAUAAUAAAAAGUAAUAUGGUCACCCUAUAAUAAUGGGGCAACUUAAUGGGGCUUACUCUGGCUUGUUU